rnacentral:rRNA from 1 species
UGUAGCUGACGGUACCCCAAGAGAAAGCUCCGGCUAAUUAUGUGCCAGCAGCCGCGGUAAUACAUANGGAGCAAGCGUUAUUNGGAAUUAUUGGGCGUAAAGAGNUCGUAGGCGGUCUUANAAGUCAGNUGUGAAAUCAUCNGGCUCAACCUGNGAAGGUCAUUUGAAACUUUCAGACUUGAGUAUNNAAGAGGNAAGUGGAAUUCCCGGUGUAGCGGUGAAAUGCGUAGAUAUCNGGAGGAACACCAGUGGCGAAGGCGGCNUUCUGGUNUANUUCUGACGCUNAGGCGCGAAAGCUAGGGGAGCAAACGGGAUUAGAUACCCCGGUAGUCCUCGCCCUAAACGAUGNAUACUAGGUGUGGGAGGAUCGACCUUCAGUGCCGCAGCUAACGC